rnacentral:rRNA from 1 species
GGGGAAUAACCCGGCGAAAGUCGGACUACCCUCUCAUAAAACAGGGACACCGCAUGGUGAUAUUUGUUAAGGAAAUUCGCUGAUAGAUGGGCAUGCGUUCCAUUAGGUAGUUGGUGAGGUAACGGCUCACCAAGCCGACGAUGGAUAGGGGAACUGAGAGGUUGGUCCCCCACACUGGUACUGAGACACGGACCAGACUCCUACGGGAGGCAGCAGUGAGGAAUAUUGGUCAAUGGGCGAGAGCCUGAACCAGCCAAGUCGCGUGAAGGAAGAAGGAUCUAUGGUUCGUAAACUUCUUUUGCAGGGGAAUAAAGUGCAGGACGUGUCCUGUUUUGUAUGUACCCUGAGAAUAAGGAUCGGCUAACUCCGUGCCAGCAGCCGCGGUAAUACGGAGGAUCCGAGCGUUAUCCGGAUUUAUUGGGUUUAAAGGGUGCGUAGGUGGUUUGAUAAGUCAGCGGUGAAAGUUUGCAGCUCAACUGUAAAAAUGCCGUUGAAACUGUCGGACUUGAGUGUAAAUGAGGUAGGCGGAAUGCGUGGUGUAGCGGUGAAAUGCUUAGAUAUCACGAAGAACUCCGAUUG